rnacentral:lncRNA from 1 species
GCUCGUGACGGAGCCGACGGAUGGUCCGGGACUUCUUGGCCGCGUCGUCCCUCGCCGACUUCAGCUCCGACUCCAACGACGCGUUGGUCUCCUUAAGCCCGAAAACCUCCUCCGAAAGUUGGGAGACCUCACCCUCGAGCCGGUUCUCCCGAUCGACCGACUGCUGAAAUUGGUCGACAAGGAUGGUCUUCUCGGCUUCGAGCCCCACGACCUUGUCUCUCCAGGUCGCGCGCAUGUCCCCAAACUUCCGAUAUCCGGCUUCCAGCUCG